GAUAACCAUUCUUUCCCCGUGCCUUGUUCCACUCCAAGAACAUCAUUCUUCCCAUCACUUAAGAUUCUUAAGAUCCGAGGAUGUCCCAAACUCCAAGGAUGGUGGAGGACAAAGAAUGAGAACCAAGGAUCAACCGCUGAGUUGCCUUGCUUUCCUUGCCUUUCCAAGUUAGAAAUCGAGGACUGCCAAAACUUAACCUCCAUGCCGCUCUUUCCAUUUCUCGACGACGAUUUGACUUUGAAAGGUACUAGUGUAAGGCCUUUGCAACAAACAUUGAAGAUGAAGAUGACCAAGGCUAGCAUGACAUCAGAAGCAUCAUCAUCGAGAAGCACAUGUCAUUCUUAUUCCUAUUCUUCGACUGCCCUUCCUCUCUCCAAUUUGAAGCGCUUGACUCUUGAUUCCAUUAAUGGUCUAGAAGGUCUAUCAGAGGAGUUUCUGCAAAAUCUCACUUCGCUUGUCUACUUACAAUUUAAAUAUGAUUGUCAAUUGCUGCCGCAAAAGAUGAACAGCCUCACCUCUUUACAAGAAUUGCAUAUUGAGUAUUGUCCUGAUCUGAGGGUUUUACCGGACUGGAUACCAAAUCUCACUUCUCUCAUAACACUUACAAUUUGGUAUUGCCCUGAAUUACAAUACUUGCCAGAAGGGAUGCAUCGCCUUGCCUCUUUACAACGAUUGUCUAUUCGAGGAUGUCCCCAAUUGUCAAAAAGAUGUAAAAAGGAGACCGGAAUCCAUUGGCCUCACAUUGCUCACAUCCCAUCUAUUGUAAUUGAUGGGCGAUGAAUUCAAUGUUGAUCAUACUGUAUAGUUUUUCCAGUGAUGGUGAGGACCUGGAGGAGAUAGAUGUGACGUGAAUAUUCUCAUGGAGUUGAUGAAUAGAUUAUUGUCAGUAGUUUCACUUCCCCUGUUUUUAUGCAUGGAUCAAUGCAAAGUCAUCUCAUAUACAAUGAGACAACAUUGGAUUUUCGUGUCAUAUCUUUUCAGAAGCUAAACCAAAAAUAAAUGGAAAACGAUCGUGAGACAGAUUGCUGCUGUCACAGAGAUUCUAAGUAAUUGAAACACUGGUGAAAUUUUCCCUGAGGAUUUGCAACUACAAGUUUGUUAGAGGGCUUAUCUCCACUCAAGACUCUUGAGCUGAAAGCUAGAAAUAAUAGAAAACAAUGUGAAAGUCUACUUGUACAUGUCCCGUUGUAUCCUUUGUGACGAGGAGAUUUUGCUAUGGGUAAUGUUUCCUACUCUUCCAGUUGUAGGAACUUGCUCUUGUAAAGAAUAUA
rnacentral:sRNA from 10 species